UACGAAGGGGGCUAGCGUUGUUCGGAAUCACUGGGCGUAAAGGGCGCGUAGGCGGCUAUUCAAGUCGGGGGUGAAAGCCUGUGGCUCAACCGCAGAAUUGCCUUCGAUACUGUUUGGCUUGAGACCGGAAGAGGUAAGUGGAACUGCGAGUGUAGAGGUGAAAUUCGUAGAUAUUCGCAAGAACACCAGUGGCGAAGGCGGCUUACUGGUCCGGUUCUGACGCUGAGGCGCGAAAGCGUGGGGAGCAAACAGG
rnacentral:rRNA from 1 species